rnacentral:rRNA from 1 species
AGUGAACGCUGGCGGUAGGCCUAACACAUGCAAGUCGAACGGCAGCACAGUAAGAGCUUGCUCUUACGGGUGGCGAGUGGCGGACGGGUGAGGAAUACAUCGGAAUCUACUUUUUCGUGGGGGAUAACGUAGGGACACUUACGCUAAUACCGCAUACGACCUACGGGUGAAAUCAGGGGAUCUUCGGACCUUGCGCGAUUGAAUGAGCCGAUGUCGGAUUAGCUAGUUGGCGGGGUAAAGGCCCACCAAGGCGACGAUCCGUAGCUGGUCUGAGAGGAUGAUCAGCCACACUGGAACUGAGACACGGUCCAGACUCCUACGGGAGGCAGCAGUGGGGAAUAUUGGACAAUGGGCGAAAGCCUGAUCCAGCCAUACCGCGUGGGUGAAGAAGGCCUUCGGGUUGUAAAGCCCUUUUGUUGGGAAAGAAAAGCAGCAGGUUAAUACCCCGCUGUUCUGACGGUACCCAAAGAAUAAGCACCGGCUAACUUCGUG